rnacentral:rRNA from 1 species
CACCGGCGGCUCGAGUGGUGGCCACUUUUAUUGGGUCUAAAGCGUCCGUAGCCGGCUUGGCAAGUCCCCUGGGAAAUCUGGCGGCUUAACCGUCAGGCGUCCAGAGGAUACUGCCAGGCUUGGGACCGGGAGAGGUGAGAGGUACCUCAGGGGUAGAGGUGAAAUCUUGUGAUCCCUGAGGGACCACCAGUGGCGAAGGCGUCUCACUAGAACGGGUCCGACGGUCAGGGACGAAAGCUGGGGGCACGAACCGG